AGAGUUGAUCAGUGGCUCAGGACGAACGCUGGCGGCGUGCCUAACACAUGCAAGUCGAGCGAGGAGAUCCUUCGGGAUGAUCCUAGCGGCGGACGGGUGAGUAACACGUGGGCAACCUGCCUCAUAGAGAGGAAUAGCCUUCCGAAAGGGAGAUUAAUACCUCAUAACAUUGCAGUUUCGCAUGGAACAGCAAUUAAAGGAGUAAUCCGCUAUGAGAUGGGCCCGCGGCGCAUUAGCUAGUUGGUGAGGUAACGGCUCACCAAGGCGACGAUGCGUAGCCGACCUGAGAGGGUGAUCGGCCACAUUGGGACUGAGACACGGCCCAGACUCCUACGGGAGGCAGCAGUGGGGAAUAUUGCACAAUGGGGGAAACCCUGAUGCAGCCAACGCCGCGUGAGUGAUGACGGCCUUCGGGUUGUAAAGCUCUGUCUUCAGGGACGAUAAUGACGGUACCUGAGGAGGAAGCCACGGCUAACUACGUGCCAGCAGCAGC
rnacentral:rRNA from 1 species